rnacentral:rRNA from 1 species
CAGCAGCCGCGGUAAUACGUAGGUGGCAAGCGUUGUCCGGAAUUAUUGGGCGUAAAGGGCUCGCAGGCGGUUUCUUAAGUCUGAUGUGAAAGCCCCCGGCUCAACCGGGGAGGGUCAUUGGAAACUGGGAAACUUGAGUGCAGAAGAGGAGAGUGGAAUUCCACGUGUAGCGGUGAAAUGCGUGGAGAUGUGGAGGAACACCAGUGGCGAAGGCGACUCUCUGGUCUGUAACUGGCGCUGAGGAGCGAAAGCGUGGGGAGCGAACAGGAUUAGAUACCCCCGUAGUCCCUGUCUCUUAUAC